UGGGGAAUAUUGGACAAUUGGCGAAAGCCUGAUCCAGCCAUGCCGCGUGUGUGAAGAAGGUCUUCGGAUUGUAAAGCACCUUAAGUUGGGAGGAAGGGUACUUACCUAAUACGUGAGUAUUUUGACGUUACCGACAGAAUAAGCACCGGCUAACACUGUGCCAGCAGCCGCGGUAAUACAGAGGGUGCAAGCGUUAAUCGGAAUUCCUGGGCGUAAAGCGCGCGUAGGUGGUUUGUUAAGUUGGAUGUGAAAGCCCCGAGCCCAACCUGGGAACUGCAUCCAAAACUGGCAAGCUAGAGUAGGGUAGCGGGUGGUGGUAUUUCCUGUGUAGCGGUGAAAUGCGUAGAUAUAGGAAGGAACACCAGUGGCGAAGGCGACCACCUGGACUGAUACUGACACUGAGGUGCGAAAGCGUGGGGAGCAAACA
rnacentral:rRNA from 1 species